CUACGGGGGGCAGCAGUGGGGAAUAUUGCACAAUGGAGGAAACUCUGAUGCAGCAACGCCGCGUGGAGGAUGACACUUUUCGGAGCGUAAACUCCUUUUAUAUAGGAAGAAGAUGACGGUACUAUAUGAAUAAGCGCCGGCUAACUCCGUGCCAGCAGCCGCGGUAAUACGGAGGGCGCAAGCGUUACUCGGAAUCACUGGGCGUAAAGAGCGUGUAGGCGGAUUAAAAAGUCAGAAGUGAAAUCCUAUAGCUUAACUAUAGAACUGCUUCUGAAACUCUUAAUCUAGAAAAUGGGGGAGGUAGAUGGAAUUUCUGGUGUAGGGGUAAAAUCCGUAGAGAUCAGAAGGAAUACCGAUUGCGAAGGCGAUCUACUAGAACAUUAUUGACGCUGAGACGCGAAAGCGUGGGGAGCAAACAGGAUUAGAUACCCCAGUAGUC
rnacentral:rRNA from 1 species